rfam:Cajanus cajan CcLG02_2352, whole genome shotgun sequence.
AUACCUUUCUCGGCCUUUUGGCUAAGAUCAAGUGUAGUAUCUGUUCUUAUCAGUUUAAUAUCUGAUAUGUGGGUCAUUGGCUCACACGAUAUUAAAUUUAUUUUUUGAAGGGGAAGGUCCAAACAGUAGCUUGCUAUUGGGGCCUUCAUGUGUCGCUUAUGUGUUGCACUACAACAUGGGCCUGGCACACCCUAC